rnacentral:misc_RNA from 1 species
GAUGAAGAACGUAGCGAAAUGCGAUAAGUAAUGUGAAUUGCAGAAUUCAGUGAAUCAUCGAAUCUUUGAACGCACAUUGCGCCCGCCAGUAUUCUGGCGGGCAUGACUGUUCGAGCGUCAUUUCAACCAUCAAGCCCCAGGCUUGUGUUGGGGACCUGCGGCUGCCGCAGGCCCUGAAAACCAGUGGCGGGCUCGCUGUCACACCGGGCGUAGUAGAUUUUAUCUCGCUCAGGGCGUGCUGCGGGUUCCGGCCGUUAAAAAGCCUUUUUUACCCAAGGUUGACCUCGGAUCAGGUAGGAAUACCCGCUGAACUUAAGCAUAUCAAUAAGCGGAGGA